GGCUCGGUAGUUCAGUUGGUUAGAGAGAACUCAUAAUUCUUGUGUCGGGGGGUUCAAGCCCUUCCCGAGACACCA
rnacentral:tRNA from 1 species